CCUUUAUCUUAGCGGCGGACGGGUGAGUAAUGCUUAGGAAUCUGCCUAUUAGUGGGGGACAACAUUCCGAAAGGGAUGCUUAAUACCGCAUACGUCCUACGGGAGAAAGCAGGGGAUCUUCGGACCUUGCGCUAAUAGAUGAGCCUAAGUCGGAUUAGCUAGUUGGUGGGGUAAAGGCCUACCAAGGCGACGAUCUGUAGCGGGUCUGAGAGGAUGAUCCGCCACACUGGGACUGAGACACGGCCCAGACUCCUGCGGGAGGCAGCAGUGGGGAAUAUUGGACAAUGGGGGGAACCCUGAUCCAGCCAUGCCGCGUGUGUGAAGAAGGCCUUAUGGUUGUAAAGCACUUUAAGCGAGGAGGAGGCCACUGAGACUAAUACUCUUGGAUAGGGACGUUACUCGCAGAAU
rnacentral:rRNA from 1 species